UGUGAACUCGAAGAGUAGGGCGGGACACGUGGUAUCCUGUCUGAAUAUGGGGGGACCAUCCUCCAAGGCUAAAUACUCCUGACUGACCGAUAGUGAACCAGUACCGUGAGGGAAAGGCGAAAAGAACCCCGGCGAGGGGAGUGAAAAAGAACCUGAAACCGUGUACGUACAAGCAGUGGGAGCACCUUCGGGUGUGACUGCGUACCUUUUGUAUAAUGGGUCAGCGACUUAUAUUCUGUAGCAAGGUUAACCGUAUAGGGGAGCCGCAGGGAAACCGAGUCUUAACUGGGCGUUAAGUUGCAGGGUAUAGACCCGAAACCCGGUGAUCUAGCCAUGGGCAGGUUGAAGGUUGGGUAACACUAACUGGAGGACCGAACCGACUAAUGUUGAAAAAUUAGCGGAUGACUUGUGGCUGGGGGUGAAAGGCCAAUCAAACCGGGAGAUAGCUGGUUCUCCCCGAAAGCUAUUUAGGUAGCGCCUCGUGAAUUCAUCUUCGGGGGUAGAGCACUGUUUCGGCUAGGGGGUCAUCCCGACUUACCAACCCGAUGCAAACUACGAAUACCGAAGAAUGUUAUCACGGGAGACACACGGCGGGUGCUAACGUCCGUCGUGAAGAGGGAAACAACCCAGACCGCCAGCUAAGGUCCCAAAGUCAUGGUUAAGUGGGAAACGAUGUGGGAAGGCACAGACAGCCAGGAUGUUGGCUUAGAAGCAGCCAUCAUUUAAAGAAAGCGUAAUAGCUCACUGGUCGAGUCGGCCUGCGCGGAAGAUGUAACGGGGCUAAACCAUGCACCGAAGCUGCGGCAGCGACACUAUGUGUUGUUGGGUAGGGGAGCGUUCUGUAAGCCUGCGAAGGUGACCUGUGAGGGUUGCUGGAGGUAUCAGAAGUGCGAAUGCUGACAUAAGUAACGAUAAAGCGGGUGAAAAGCCCGCUCGCCGGAAGACCAAGGGUUCCUGUCCAACGUUAAUCGGGGCAGGGUGAGUCGACCCCUAAGGCGAGGCCGAAAGGCGUAGUCGAUGGGAAACAGGUUAAUAUUCCUGUACUUGGUGUUACUGCGAAGGGGGGACGGAGAAGGCUAUGUUAGCCGGGCGACGGUUGUCCCGGUUUAAGCAUGUAGGCUGGUUGUCCAGGCAAAUCCGGAUAAUCAAGGCUGAGGUGUGAUGACGAGGCACUACGGUGCUGAAGUAACAAAUGCCCUGCUUCCAGGAAAAGCCUCUAAGCAUCAGGUAACAUCAAAUCGUACCCCAAACCGACACAGGUGGUCAGGUAGAGAAUACCAAGGCGCUUGAGAGAACUCGGGUGAAGGAACUAGGCAAAAUGGUGCCGUAACUUCGGGAGAAGGCACGCUGGUGUGUAGGUGAAGCCCCUGCGGGUGGAGCUGAGACCAGUCGAAGAUACCAGCUGGCUGCAACUGUUUAUUAAAAACACAGCACUGUGCAAACACGAAAGUGGACGUAUACGGUGUGACGCCUGCCCGGUGCCGGAAGGUUAAUUGAUGGGGUUAUCCGUAAGGAGAAGCUCUUGAUCGAAGCCCCGGUAAACGGCGGCCGUAACUAUAACGGUCCUAAGGUAGCGAAAUUCCUUGUCGGGUAAGUUCCGACCUGCACGAAUGGCGUAAUGAUGGCCAGGCUGUCUCCACCCGAGACUCAGUGAAAUUGAACUCGCUGUGAAGAUGCAGUGUACCCGCGGCAAGACGGAAAGACCCCGUGAACCUUUACUAUAGCUUGACACUGAACAUUGAGCCUUGAUGUGUAGGAUAGGUGGGAGGCUUUGAAGCGUGGACGCCAGUCUGCGUGGAGCCAACCUUGAAAUACCACCCUUUAAUGUUUGAUGUUCUAACGUUGGCCCCUGACCGGGGUUGCGGACAGUGUCUGGUGGGUAGUUUGACUGGGGCGGUCUCCUCCCAAAGCGUAACGGAGGAGCACGAAGGUUAGCUAAUCCUGGUCGGACAUCAGGAGGUUAGUGCAAUGGCAUAAGCUAGCUUGACUGCGAGCGUGACGGCGCGAGCAGGUGCGAAAGCAGGUCAUAGUGAUCCGGUGGUUCUGAAUGGAAGGGCCAUCGCUCAACGGAUAAAAGGUACUCCGGGGAUAACAGGCUGAUACCGCCCAAGAGUUCAUAUCGACGGCGGUGUUUGGCACCUCGAUGUCGGCUCAUCACAUCCUGGGGCUGAAGUAGGUCCCAAGGGUAUGGCUGUUCGCCAUUUAAAGUGGUACGCGAGCUGGGUUUAGAACGUCGUGAGACAGUUCGGUCCCUAUCUGCCGUGGGCGCUGGAGAAUUGAGGGGGGCUGCUCCUAGUACGAGAGGACCGGAGUGGACGCAUCACUGGUGUUCGGGUUGUCAUGCCAAUGGCACUGCCCGGUAGCUAAAUGCGGAAGAGAUAAGUGCUGAAAGCAUCUAAGCACGAAACUUGCCCCGAGAUGAGUUCUCCCUGAGACUUUAAGUCUCCUGAAGGAACGUUGAAGACGACGACGUUGAUAGGCCGGGUGUGUAAGCGCAGCGAUGCGUUGAGCUAACCGGUACUAAUGAACCGUGAGGCUUAACCUUACAACGCCGAAG
rnacentral:rRNA from 2 species